GCAUCGGUGGUGCACGGUGCACGCCUCUUUACUGUGAGCGCAAUGAAUAUAAUUUAUACAGGGAGGGACUCGGGUUCGAUUCCCGGCCGAUGCG